rnacentral:rRNA from 1 species
AGAGUUUGAUCAUGGCUCAGAUUGAACGCUGGCGGCAGGCCCAACACAUGCAAGUCGAGCGGAAACGAUCCUAGCUUGCUAGGAGGCGUCGAGCGGCGGACGGGUGAGUAAUGCAUAGGAAUCUGCCCGGUAGUGGGGGAUAACCUGGGGAAACCCAGGCUAAUACCGCAUACGCCCUACGGGGGAAAGCAGGGGAUCUUCGGACCUUGCGCUAUCGGAUGAGCCUAUGUCGGAUUAGCUAGUUGGUGAGGUAACGGCUCACCAAGGCUGCGAUCCGUAGCUGGUCUGAGAGGAUGAUCAGCCACAUCGGGACUGAGACACGGCCCGAACUCCUACGGGAGGCAGCAGUGGGGAAUAUUGGACAAUGGGCGAAAGCCUGAUCCAGCCAUGCCGCGUGUGUGAAGAAGGCCUUCGGGUUGUAAAGCACUUUCAGUGAGGAAGAAAGCCUUGAGGUUAAUACCCUCGAGGGAGGACAUCACUCACAGAAGAAGCACCGGCUAACUCCGUGCCAGCAGCCGCGGUAAUACGGAGGGUGCGAGCGUUAAUCGGAAUUACUGGGCGUAAAGCGCGCGUAGGCGGCUUGAUAAGCCGGUUGUGAAAGCCCCGGGCUCAACCUGGGAACGGCAUCCGGAACUGUCAGGCUAGAGUGCAGGAGAGGAAGGUAGAAUUCCCGGUGUAGCGGUGAAAUGCGUAGAGAUCGGGAGGAAUACCAGUGGCGAAGGCGGCCUUCUGGACUGACACUGACGCUGAGGUGCGAAAGCGUGGGUAGCAAACAGGAUUAGAUACCCUGGUAGUCCACGCCGUAAACGAUGUCGACUAGCCGUUGGGCUCCUUGAGAGCUUUGUGGCGCAGUUAACGCGAUAAGUCGACCGCCUGGGGAGUACGGCCGCAAGGUUAAAACUCAAAUGAAUUGACGGGGGCCCGCACAAGCGGUGGAGCAUGUGGUUUAAUUCGAUGCAACGCGAAGAACCUUACCUACCCUUGACAUCGAGAGAACUUUCCAGAGAUGGAUUGGUGCCUUCGGGAACUCUCAAACAGGUGCUGCAUGGCUGUCGUCAGCUCGGGUUGGGAAAUGUUGGGUUAAGUCCCGUAACG